AGAGUUUGAUCCUGGCUCAGAUUGAACGCUGGCGGCAUGCUUUACACAUGCAAGUCGAACGGGGUUAAGGGGCUUGCUCCUUAAUCUAGUGGCGAACGGGUGAGUAAUGCAUCGGAACGUACCCGGGAGUGGGGGAUAACGCACCGAAAGGUGUGCUAAUACCGCAUAUUCUGUGAGCAGGAAAGCAGGGGACCUUAGGGCCUUGUGCUUCCGGAGCGGCCGAUGUCGGAUUAGCUAGUUGGUGAGGUAAAGGCUCACCAAGGCGACGAUCCGUAGCGGGUCUGAGAGGAUGAUCCGCCACACUGGGACUGAGACACGGCCCAGACUCCUACGGGAGGCAGCAGUGGGGAAUUUUGGACAAUGGGCGCAAGCCUGAUCCAGCCAUGCCGCGUGUCUGAAGAAGGC
rnacentral:rRNA from 1 species